rnacentral:sRNA from 1 species
UAGUUGUACAGAGAAAACUCUGAUAAACAGGCAAUGAGCUAUUAUAAUAGUAAGUGUUAUAUGUUAACACCUCACGUUUGUUGGAAAGUCACGCUGAUGCGUGGCUUUUUUAGUUAAA